GUGAACAUUGCAGAAAAAGUGUCAGCAUUUAUAUGACAGCAUUUAUGAUAUACGUAAAAAAAGACAUCUUAUUUCACAAUUUUAUAACAGCAUUUAAUAUAUUUAUCAAACUGUGUAAUAAUUUUAAGUAGCAAAAUUAAAAAAGAACCAGUAGUAACGUCCCGUACACAUUCCAAACAAAGUAAAAAACAGCUCGACAUUUUUACUCCUUUGACGACUUUCUGAGACAAGUGCAUUUGAAAGGGCAUUUCAGAUGAAUGAGGCAGCAGCAGCAGCAGCCUGUUCCUGCAAAUCAUCACUUCAGAUUCUCUUUGAGAGUCUGUUUGAGCUCCCUGUUGUUCAGCUGGAGGUAUUUAUGCACCCGGCUGCGAUGCGUGUUCGUUUGUGAUCUAUAAUCCACACGUUUGGGUGCUCCCAAACCUUCAUCGUUGGCCUGCUGUUCUAAGGCACCUUCAGCUGUUUGAUUGUCUGCAAGUGUCAUCGUUAGCAAUACACAAGCAUUUGAGGCACACCUGUCAGAAGAACAACAGGACAAGAACACAGCACACAGCACUGGAACAUCACCUUCGUGGAAAGUCUUGAGGAAAUGGUCUGAAAUCGUAAUAAUUGCAAAGGAAUGAUGUGGAUUUUGUGGACUCUGACAGUCUGUGUUAUAUUCACACCGUCUUCAUGGUCUCUAACACUAUACUGACGACAUUAUGUGUAUUAAACUAUCGAUAAUGCACAAGCAAGCCAUGUGAAAUUGUAAACCGCAAAAGUACAGGCACCUCAGUAGAUUGUACCUCAAAAAAAAGCAUGGAACGAUAUCUAUUUUCGAUAAAUUAAAUUAUUAAUCUCAUAUUUUAAUUAAUUUCACUUUACAAUAUGAGUUUACAAAUAUAUCUAUAUAUAUAUAUAUAUAUAUGUGUGUGGAAAAUAAAUUACCCGGGUUUAUCGCAUAUCAUAUACAAACUCUUAAAUAUUCAUAUCAGAAAGAAAAUAACACAGGAAUGUUUGGAAUGACAUGAUGGUGAGUAACAGAUUACAUAAUAUUAAUUUCUGUGCGAACUGACCCUUUAAUUAAAGCAUAUUUACGCUAUCCAGAGGACACCUUGAGACAUUUACAGUAAUAAAAACCUCUGUGUAAUUACUAUUGAUUGACAUAUAUAUACCAACACAACUCUUGCUAGAACUUUAAUAGGUUCUUAUAUGGUAACUUGUAGGUUAGAUUAGCUAUUGAUUGCAUUUAUCGCUUGAGUUGUACUGUAAAAUAUGAUUUGGUGUAUUGCUCUUUGAGCACAUUUUGAAUGUCACCAAUUACUGAAGAGAUGCCUUAAAUACUGAUAUCUCAAGUAAUACUUCAGUGCCUGAGAGAAAUCAUGUCAUUAUGUAAAGCCUGUGAUGUAUGACAGCAGAACAGUAAGGCAAACUAAUAUUUCAGAAGGGUAAAAUUGUUGUUAAUUUUAUGGUACAUUCUCUCUUAAUUAGAAAAAAUGACUCCUUUAAAAUCACAAAAUUCAUAUUUGUUUCUUGUGUUCUCAGAAAUGGCUAAUUAUUGUUAUACAGGUAUCAAAACCUGAUGUUCAAGUUGUUUUUCUGCAUUUGAACAAAGUGUCGGUCCUCUAUGAUGUUACUGGCCUCUGGAUUGCAUCUCAUCACAUCCGUUCUGUCUUUCAACUCUGUCCAAAUAACACUGUUAACAACAAUGAAUCAAGCAUAAGCCAUGAUACACCAGUAGAGAAAGAUGAAGAGUCUGUUCUGGGGUGCGUCGGAGUUCGGUAGGUGUAUUGAAGUCAGCACAAAUACUCAAAUGCUUUUGACCUUGAGUAUUCUCACAGCUUGUUGCCUAUUAAAGCAGUUCUUUCUUUUUCUGAGGGUUUUAUUAAGGCGCUGAGAUCCGCUCAUAUGUGAAUGUGUUGGGGAAAUAUAAGGCAGAAUAUUAAUAUCUUCAUAUUGAUAUGCAACCUGCAGAAAAUUUCCUCCAACGCUCCAUUUUGAGAAUGGCUUCUUCAGAAAAAGGAGGGAAGUCUGUGACCAGCGGCAUUCUUCUUUUUGAGCCAUGUAAAUCCAGAUCUGCGCAUCUUACAGUGCUGUGUAAAACUCAUUUGGGUCCUGAACAGGUGCGCCGUGGCCUCUCAUCUCUGGGCUCUUGCAUUCUGGGGUCUUUCUUGAGGAAAAAGGAAGUUAUAGAGGGUCG
ensembl:lncRNA